UACAGAGGUCCCAAGCGUUGCUCGGAUUCAUUGGGCGUAAAGGGUGCGUAGGUGGCGCUGUAAGUGGGGUGUGAAAUUUCGGAGCUUAACUCCGAAACUGCAUUCCAUACUGCGGUGCUUGAGGACUGGAGAGGAGACUGGAAUUUACGGUGUAGCAGUGAAAUGCGUAGAGAUCGUAAGGAAGACCAGUGGCGAAGGCGGGUCUCUGGACAGUUCCUGACACUGAGGCACGAAGGCCAGGGGAGCAAACGGG
rnacentral:rRNA from 1 species